rnacentral:rRNA from 1 species
AGUGAACGCUGGCGGUAGGCCUAACACAUGCAAGUCGAACGGCAGCACAGUAAGAGCUUGCUCUUACGGGUGGCGAGUGGCGGACGGGUGAGGAAUACAUCGGAAUCUACUUUUUCGUGGGGGAUAACGUAGGGAAACUUACGCUAAUACCGCAUACGACCUACGGGUGAAAGCAGGGGAUCUUCGGACCUUUCGCGAUUGAAUGAGCCGAUGUCGGAUUAGCUAGUUGGCGGGGUAAAGGCCCACCAAGGCGACGAACCGUAGCUGGUCUGAGAGGAUGAUCAGCGACACUGGAGCUGAAUCACGGACCAGACUCCUACGGGAGGCAGCAGUGGGGAAUAUUGGACAAUGGGCGCAAGCCUGAUCCAGCCAUACCGCGUGGGUGAAGAAGGCCUUCGGGUUGUAAAGCCCUUUUGUUGGGAAAGAAAAGCAGCAGGUUAAUACCCCGCUGUUCUGACGGUACCCAAAGAAUAAGCACCGGCUAACUUCGUG